UACAGAGGGGGCGAGCGUUGUUCGGAAUUACUGGGCGUAAAGGGCGCGUAGGCGGCCUUCUAAGUCGGACGUGAAAUCCCUCGGCUCAACCGAGGAACUGCGUCCGAUACUGGUUGGCUUGAAUUCGGGAGAGGGAUGCGGAAUUCCAGGUGUAGCGGUGAAAUGCGUAGAGAUCGGGAAGAACAUCGGUGGCGAAGGCGCUCUACUGGACCACAACUGACACUCAGGGACGAAAGCUAGGGGAGCGAAUGGG
rnacentral:rRNA from 1 species